rnacentral:rRNA from 1 species
AGAAUCAACGCUGGCGGCGUGCCUAACACAUGCAAGUCGAACGAGAAAGUGGAGCAAUCCACGAGUAAAGUGGCGCACGGGUGAGUAACACGUGACUAACCUACCCUUGAGUGGGGAAUAACUGAGGGAAACCUUAGCUAAUACCGCAUAACACCUACGGGUCAAAGGAGCAAUUCGCUUAAAGGAGGGGGUCGCGGCAGAUUAGUUAGUUGGCGGGGUAAUGGCCCACCAAGACGAUGAUCUGUA